GGCUCGUUGGUCUAGGGGUAUGAUUCUCGCUUAGGGUGCGAGAGGUCCCGCGAGAGGUCCCGGGUUCAAAUCCCGGACGAGCCC